UACGUAGGGGGCAAGCGUUGUCCGGAAUCAUUGGGCGUAAAGCGCGUGUAGGCGGCUUUGCAAGUCGGGUGUGAAAUCCCUCAGCUUAACUGAGGAAGUGCGCCCGAAACUGCCGAGCUUGAGUACCGGAGAGGGUGGCGGAAUUCCCCAAGUAGAGGUGAAAUUCGUAGAUAUGGGGAGGAACACCGGUGGCGAAGGCGGCCACCUGGACGGAUACUGACGCUGAGACGCGAAAGCGUGGGGAGCAAACAGG
rnacentral:rRNA from 1 species